AAAUUGAAGAGUUUGAUCAUGGCUCAGAUUGAACGCUGGCGGCAGGCCUAACACAUGCAAGUCGAACGGUAACAGGAAGCAGCUUGCUGUUUCGCUGACGAGUGGCGGACGGGUGAGUAAUGUCUGGGAAACUGCCUGAUGGAGGGGGAUAACUACUGGAAACGGUGGCUAAUACCGCAUAACGUCGCAAGACCAAAGAGGGGGACCUUCGGGCCUCUUGCCAUCAGAUGUGCCCAGAUGGGAUUAGCUAGUUGGUGAGGUAACGGCUCACCAAGGCGACGAUCCCUAGCUGGU
rnacentral:rRNA from 1 species